UAACGCGUGAGGAACCUGCCUCAAAGAGGGGGACAACAGUUGGAAACGACUGCUAAUACCGCAUAAGCCCACAGCUCGGCAUCGAGCAGAGGGAAAAGGAGUGAUCCGCUUUGAGAUGGCCUCGCGUCCGAUUAGCUAGUUGGUGAGGUAAUGGCCCACCAAGGCGACGAUCGGUAGCCGGACUGAGAGGUUGAACGGCCACAUUGGGACUGAGACACGGCCCUG
rnacentral:rRNA from 1 species